rnacentral:tRNA from 1 species
AAGGCUGUAGCUCAAGCGGUAGAGUGCAUGUUUAUCAUGCACGAGGUCCUGGGUUCAAUCCCUGGCACCUUCU